rnacentral:rRNA from 1 species
AUUGAACGCUGGCGGCAGGCCUAACACAUGCAAGUCGAACGGUAACAGGAAACAGCUUGCUGUUUCGCUGACGAGUGGCGGACGGGUGAGUAAUGUCUGGGAAACUGCCUGAUGGAGGGGGAUAACUACUGGAAACGGUAGCUAAUACCGCAUAACGUCGCAAGGCCAAAGAGGGGGACCUUCGGGCCUCUUGCCAUCGGAUGUGCCCAGAUGGGAUUAGCUAGUAGGUGGGGUAACGGCUCACCUAGGCGACGAUCCCUAGCUGGUCUGAGAGGAUGCCCAGCCACACUGGAACUGAGACACGGUCCAGACUCCUACGGGAGGCAGCAGUGGGGAAUAUUGCACAAUGGGCGCAAGCCUGAUGCAGCCAUGCCGCGUGUAUGAAGAAGGCCUUCGGGUUGUAAAGUACUUUCAGCGGGGAGGAAGGGAGUAAAGUUAAUACCUUUGCUCAUUGACGUUACCCGCAGAAGAAGCACCGGCUAACUCCGUGCCAGCAGCCGCGGUAA